CAAAAGAGACGAGAUGCGAGACAAGGUGUUUUAGCACACUUUGUCCUUGCCUCUUUAGUCCACCCACACUUUGUGAACCGUUGAUUGUCUCUGGCAGUUGCAGUUGGUGAAACUGGGCUGCCGAUGGGCUGCGCCCGUCACUACCGUUUUAACUCUAACGUUAACCUGUGAAGGUCUGAAACAACUUGAAGAUUAAUGAGAGAA
rnacentral:misc_RNA from 1 species